rnacentral:rRNA from 1 species
AACGAACGCUGGCGGCAUGCCUAACACAUGCAAGUCGAACGAGACCUUCGGGGCUUGCUGCGCACGGGUGCGUAACGCGUGGGAACCUGCCCUUAGGUUCGGAAUACCUCCCCGCAAGGGGUGCUAAUACCGGAUAAUGUCUUCGCACCAAAGAUUUAUCGCCUUUGGAUGGGCCCGCGUUGGAUUAGCUAGUUGGUAGGGUAAAAGCCUACCAAGGCGACGAUCCAUAGCUGGUCUGAGAGGAUGAUCAGCCACACUGGGACUGAGACACGGCCCAGACUCCUACGGGAGGCAGCAGUGGGGAAUAUUGGACAAUGGGCGAAAGCCUGAUCAAGCAAUGCCGCGUGAGUGAUGAAGGCCUUAGGGUUGUAAAGCUCUUUUACCCGGGAUGAUAAUGACAGUACCGGGAGAAUAAGCUCCGGCUAACUCCGUG